rnacentral:tRNA from 1 species
GCCUCCACCAGGUAGGUUCCGGGGCCCGCCCUGCCCGCCGGGGCGGUGGCGCACUGCGGGGCGCUGCGCCCGCGGUCCCACUCCACGGUGUGGGUG